AUGGAAGUCAAAACAUUUGUCUUUCUUCAAGUCGCAGUGUUUAUUGCCCUCGGCAUCCAAAUAUUUAUGACAGGAACAGAUGCAUUGAGUGAGGAAGACGAACUCUUUAGUGUCAAAUAUUGCGGCAUGAAUUGCACACAGCGAGAUGAUGGAAGUUGGACAACAUGCAAUGGAAACUGCACAUGCUAUCAUGAAGAAGGUAAAAAAGAUGGUCUGUGUCUAUCCACCGAAUACACCGACUUCACUCAAUAUCCAAAUCUUACAAGUGCGGAGAUUGCUGAUGCCACCCCUCGGCCACAAGAGACAAACUGUCCUUGAACUGCGCGGCGAAACAAGGCUGUAAUCAAGAGUUCUGCAGAAACUUAUAAUUUUCUUUCAUUGCAACUAAUUCG